GAUCCUGGCUCAGAUUGAACGCUGGCGGCAGGCUUAACACAUGCAAGUCGAACGGUAGCAGGUAAGUACUUGUACUUAUGCUGACGAGUGGCGGACGGGUGAGUAAUGUUUGGGAAUCUAGCUUAUGGAGGGGGAUAACGACGGGAAACUGUCGCUAAUACCGCGUAGAAUCGGAAGAUGAAAGUGCGGGACCUUAGGGCCGCAUGCCAUAGGAUGAGCCCAAGUGGGAUUAGGUAGUUGGUAGGGUAAAGG
rnacentral:rRNA from 1 species